CCUACGGGUGGCAGCAGUGAGGAAUAUUGGUCAAUGGGCGUAAGCCUGAACCAGCCAAGUCGCGUGAGGGAUGAAGGUUCUAUGGAUCGUAAACCUCUUUUAUAAGGGAAUAAAGUGUGGGACGUGUCCUGUUUUGUAUGUACCUUAUGAAUAAGGAUCGGCUAACUCCGUGCCAGCAGCCGCGGUAAUACGGAGGAUCCGAGAGUUAGACGGAUUUAUGGGGUUUAAGGGGUGCGUAGGCGGCCUUUUAACGCAGCGGUGAAAGUCUGUGGCUCAACCAUAGAAGUGCCGUUGAAACUGGGAGGAUUGAGUAUGUUUGAGGCAGGCGGAAUGCGUGGUGUAGCGGUGAAAUGCUUAGAUAUCACGCAGAACCCCGAUUGCGAAGGCAGCCUGCCAAGCCAUGACUGACGCUGAUGCACGAAAGCGUGGGGAUCAAACAGGAUUAGAUACCCUAGUAGUC
rnacentral:rRNA from 1 species